rnacentral:lncRNA from 1 species
UAAAGUAAGGGCCUAGUGGCUCCUUCUGACCUGAGCUUCCCCUCCUUUGGGCCAUCCUAGCAGCAGGAGUCUUGGCCAAGAGUUGGAAAUGGUGUUUUUGGUUACACUCAUCGUGGUUGUGGAAUACUUUCAAUGCCAAGGUCAGACAUUACCUAGUCGAUAUAGAGGCCAAGCGUGGGUACCAGUAGGUGACUUUCACAGAUCUCAUGUCUGAGAGUACAUGAGGCUUGGAAAAAGACAUCCGAGAGGUGAGUCAGUCGGAAUGGAGAGGGCAGAACCCAUCACACUUGGUGGUCAUUGGGCCAAGGUCAAAAGACUGGGUGUACUGGCCGGUUUUGUGUGUCAACUUGACACAGGCUGGAGUUAUCACAGAGAAAGGAGCUUCAGUUGGGGAAGUGCCUCCAUGAGAUCCAGCUGUGGGGCAUUUUCUCAAUUAGUGAUCAAGGGGGAAGGGCCCCUUGUGGGUAGGGCCAUCUCUGGGCUGGUAGUCUUGGGUUCUAUAAGAGAGCAGGCUAAGCAAGCCAGGGAAGCAAGCCAGUAAAGAACAUCCCUCCAUGGCCUCUGUAUCAGCUCCUGCUUUCUGACCUGCUUGAGUUCCAGUCCUGACUUCCUUUGGUGAUGAACAGCAGUAUAGAAGUGUAAGCUGAAUAAACCCUUUCCUCCC